rnacentral:rRNA from 1 species
UACAGAGGUCCCAAUCGUUGUUCGGAUUCACUGGGCGUAAAGGGUGCGUAGGCGGUUGGGUAAGUCUGACGUGAAAUCUCCGGGCCUAACCCGGAAACUGCGUUGGAUACUAUCCGGCUAGAGGAAUGGAGGGGAGACUGGAAUACUUGGUGUAGCAGUGAAAUGCGUAGAUAUCAAGUGGAACACCAGUGGCGAAGGCGAGUCUCUGGACAUUUCCUGACGCUGAGGCACGAAAGCCAGGGGAGCAAACGGG